CCUAGCAACCACCAUUCUCUUCUCUAUUUCUAUGAAUUUGACUACUCUGGAUACCUCAUGGGUUAUUGUCCUUCUUUAGGAAUGCCUAUUUGGCAUGGAUAUUCUUAGCACCUGGUAGAGCCUCCCAUGAAUCCUGGAUCUGAAGAGUAAAGAGCCUUGGGGGGAGGAGAAGCUAAGUGAAUCCCCUGUAGCUAAUUAAAAGAAGAGAAAAACACAGGUUUGGUUCAAAGAUGGAUUCAAAUAAUCUGUGCUGUCCUGGCUGAAAAUGGAAGCGCUACCAUAUUUUAAACCCACCUAGGAGUGCCCCUGAAAUAUGAGUUAAAGAAAAUUUGUUCUAUGGAGAAAGCUGUAAGUGUACACUGGGGUAUUUACUUUGUAUGGAGAUAAGAGACCUGAGUUAUAGAAAUACACGUGCUUCUAGAAAAGUAUGAAGGGACUGAAUAGCUGUUCAGGAUCCUUAAGAAAACAACGUUAGAUCACAGAAAAUGAGUUGGAGGAGAGUCCUGAAGGAAAGGGCACUAAAUAUACAGAUCCAUAGAAGAAGUUGCCAUUCUGUUAGAGACUAAGAUUUAAUAAGGUAGACUGGUCUUAUUACUGGUGAUCAUCUGGGAUUCAUUUUACAUCUGAAUAAGCAUCUCUACAAGUGGGCUAAAAGAACCUGUGUUUUAAAAUUUCUUGGGGCGCCUGGGUGGCUCAGUCAGUUAAG